GUGGGGAUGGCGAAAAUGGCAAACGCACCUGACUUAGAAUCAGGAAUCUGAGAGUUCGAAUCUCUCUCCCCAUA
rnacentral:tRNA from 1 species